UGGAGGCAAACCGUGAGGACCGCUGCCCAAGCCAGGAGCCGCACGGCCCGGGACGGGGGGGGGGCUGUGGGCACCGACCGCGUGCCCGGCCGCGCCCCAGGCCCCCUGCUCCUUCCCUCUGCUCCCCGAAGCACUGGCAGGAAGGUGCCCAGGCAGGCCCAGGCCGGGCCAUCGCGAAGCUCCCCCAGUAACGGCACCGCUGUUACUGAAAUCACAGAGGGCGGCCAGCCAGCUCCCCCAGGCCACGGUGACUCUCUCUGCCACGCCCGUCGCCUCCCACAGGGAUGCCGCGGCCGCACUGGGCCUCUAGGGGCCGCAGAGAAGUCACCGUGACGGCAAGGGAAGGGGAUGUGAGGGCACCAGUCCUGGCCGGGAGAGCCUGAGGAUUCCCGUGCGAUUCCAGGACCCGCUGUCCGCGCUCAGGCCCCUUCCUAGGACGGUGGCCUCGGUGUCCCAGUCCGGAAUGCCACCCCUCAGCUCAAACCCCUCCGCCAGCUCCCUGUGCCGCUGGGACUGAGGUCAGGCUGCCAGAGCGAGCGCCCCGCUCAAACCCAGGCCACGGCCUCCGCAGGCCGCGCGGGGACACCGGAGGGCUCAAGGUCAGGACCCCCCGUGGGGCUCCCCACUGCCCCUGCCCCGUCAGUCUACAGCUCUGAGGCAGGAAGGAAGGCUACAAAGAUCAAACGGGGGGUGAUGAGCCACAUCGAGCUGGGCAUCCUGACCUCUCGCAAGGAAGAGAUGGCCACAAAGGACAUCUGUCCCCAAAUCUCUGCCCCAGGCAGGUAUAAACAGAGAGUACAGAGCAUUGGUCCUCACGGGCUGACAGCUCUUUGCGAUUCGCACACAGAGCUGUGCGGGCUCCUCUGGACCCCGGGGACCCCGUGCGUGGGCCUGGGCUGGGGGUGACAUUGCGCCCAUCUUACGGAAGGGGAAGAUGAGACUUCGAGAAACACCUGCGCGGCCAGGUUGAGCAGCCCCCGCACUCUGGAACCCGUAUCGUAUUACUUCUCGGUGAAUAGUUACUUCAACAGGAAGUUUCUAGGAAUUAAAAAAUGGAACCUUCCCUGUUCUCCCAGCUUCUUACAGGAAUCUUUCCCAACGUGCCGAGGGUCCCAGCGGACCCUGCACUCCAGGAGGGCCCGCUAGCCUGGGUAAGAGCAGUGCCCAGCAGCUGCUGUGUAAAACAUUUCCCCCGCCCCACCCAGCCUCCAGCACCCACCUUCAAGAAGACACACAGAGGCACACACACAGUGCUGUCACCAAGCCCCAUGACGUCCCCCGCCAGGGAGGACCUUGCUGAGGCACGCAGGGAGAAGCAGCUGACUUCUCUUACUAUACAUCAGGAUCUGUCUCAGGAGGGAGUGAGCUCCCUGUUGCCACAGGAAUUCAUCCCAAGGAACACCCAGAGGAAGGAAAAAGGUCUUGGUCACAGUAUUUGCUUUGCUGCAGCCUUACUUGUAAUAAAAAAUAAACAAAAUGCCUCCCGAGUCAGAGGUAACCAGACUGUUCUGUCAGCACAGUCACAUCCACGCACAUCACGGGAAAAUGGUUGCGGUAACAUCAGAGAAUGUGUCAGACGCCGUGUUAAGUGAAAGCACCCACACGCCACCUCCCUGUAAGCCCCGGUUCGUACGAGAUCCGCGGAUGCGGGAACGCACUGGUGGGGGGGGGGAACAGCAGACUGGACAAGGCAAAGCUGACCCUGGUGGGUCUCCGGGAAAAAUCACUCUUUAUGUUUCCACCCCAAGUUCCAUUUAGGUUGCUACAAAGUUAUCUGUGCAAACGCGU